rnacentral:rRNA from 1 species
GAUGAACGCUAGCGGCAGGCCUAAUACAUGCAAGUCGAACGGUGUCUUCGGACAUAGUGGCGCACGGGUGCGUAACACGUAUGCAACCUACCUUACAUUGGGGGAUAGCCUUUCGAAAGGGAGAUUAAUACCGCAUAAGACAGUAACUAGGCAUCUAGUAGCUGUUAAAGAUUUAUCGAUGUAAGCUGGGCAUGCGUCCAAUUAGCUAGUUGGUGAGGUAACGGCUCACCAAGGCAAUGAUUGGUAGGGGAACUGAGAGGUCAAUCCCCCACACUGGCACUGAGAUACGGGCCAGACUCCUACGGGAGGCAGCAGUAGGGAAUAUUGGGCAAUGGACGCAAGUCUGACCCAGCCAUGCCGCGUGCAGGAUGAAGGCGUUAUGCGUUGUAAACUGCUUUUAUACAGGAAGAAACGACUCUUGCGAGAGGCAUUGACGGUACUGUAUGAACAAGCACCGGCUAACUCCGUGCCAGCCGCCGCCGUAAAAC